rnacentral:rRNA from 1 species
GAUGAACGCUGGCGGCGUGCUUAACACAUGCAAGUCGAACGGAAAGGCCCAAGCUUGCUUGGGUACUCGAGUGGCGAACGGGUGAGUAACACGUGGGUGAUCUGCCCUGCACUUCGGGAUAAGCCUGGGAAACUGGGCCUAAUACCGGAUAGGACGAUGGUUUGGAUGCCAUUGUGGAAAGUUUUUUCGGUGUGGGAUGAGCUCGCGGCCUAUCAGCUUGUUGGUGGGGUAAUGGCCUACCAAGGCGUCGACGGGUAGCCGGCCUGAGAGGGUGUACGGCCACAUUGGGACUGAGAUACGGCCCAGACUCCUACGGGAGGCAGCAGUGGGGAAUAUUGCACAAUGGGCGCAAGCCUGAGGCAGCGACGCCGCGUGGGGGAUGACGGCCUUCGGGUUGUAAACUCCUUUCGCUAGGGACGAAGCGUUUUUGUGACGGUACCUGGAGAAGAAGCACCGGCUAACUACGUG